GACGAACUUUGGCGGCGUGCUUAACACAUGCAAGUCGAACGGAAAGGCCCUGCUUUUGUGGGGUGCUCGAGUGGCGAACGGGUGAGUAACACGUGAGUAACCUGCCCUUGACUUUGGGAUAACUUCAGGAAACUGGGGCUAAUACCGGAUAGGAGCUCCUGCUGCAUGGCGGGGGUUGGAAAGUUUCGGCGGUUGGGGAUGGACUCGCGGCUUAUCAGCUUGUUGGUGGGGUAGUGGCUUACCAAGGCUUUGACGGGUAGCCGGCCUGAGAGGGUGACCGGCCACAUUGGGACUGAGAUACGGCCCAGACUCCUACGGGAGGCAGCAGUGGGGAAUAUUGCACAAUGGGCGGAAGCCUGAUGCAGCAACGCCGCGUGCGGGAUGACGGCCUUCGGGUUGUAAACCGCUUUCGCCUGUGACGAAGCGUGAGUGACGGUAAUGGGUAAAGAAGCACCGGCUAACUACGUGCCAGCAGCCGCGGUGAUACGUAGGGUGCGAGCGUUGUCCGGAUUUAUUGGGCGUAAAGAGCUCGUAGGUGGUUGAUCGCGUCGGAAGUGUAAUCUUGGGGCUUAACCCUGAGCGUGCUUUCGAUACGGGUUGACUUGAGGAAGGUAGGGGAGAAUGGAAUUCCUGGUGGAGCGGUGGAAUGCGCAGAUAUCAGGAGGAACACCAGUGGCGAAGGCGGUUCUCUGGGCCUUUCCUGACGUUGAGGAGCGAAAGCGUGGGGAGCGAACAGGCUUAGAUACCCUGGUAGUCCACGCUGUAAACGGUGGGUACUAGGUGUGGGGUCCAUUCCACGGGUUCCGUGCCGUAGCUAACGCUUUAAGUACCCCGCCUGGGGAGUACGGCCGCAAGGCUAAAACUCAAAGGAAUUGACGGGGCCCCGCACAAGCGGCGGAGCAUGCGGAUUAAUUCGAUGCAACGCGUAGAACCUUACCUGGGUUUGACAUGGAUCGGGAGUGCUCAGAGAUGGGUGUGCCUCUUUUGGGGUCGGUUCACAGGUGGUGCAUGGCUGUCGUCAGCUCGUGUCGUGAGAUGUUGGGUUAAGUCCCGCAACGAGCGCAACCCUUGUUCACUGUUGCCAGCACGUUAUGGUGGGGACUCAGUGGAGACCGCCGGGGUCAACUCGGAGGAAGGUGGGGAUGACGUCAAGUCAUCAUGCCCCUUAUGUCCAGGGCUUCACGCAUGCUACAAUGGCUGGUACAGAGAGUGGCGAGCCUGUGAGGGUGAGCGAAUCUCGGAAAGUCGGUCUCAGUUCGGAUUGGGGUCUGCAACUCGACCUCAUGAAGUCGGGGUCGCUAGUAAUCGCAGAUCAGCAACGCUGCGGUGAAUACGUUCCCGGGGCU
rnacentral:rRNA from 1 species